CAUGGUUACAUUAACUUUAUUUGUUUUCAUAGCCUUUAAUAUGUAUUGUUUUGUUGGACAAAUUUGGGCGGUAAGUGAAAUAAAUAGAUAUUAAAUACAGAUUUUUUUUAAAUCCAAAUACAAAAACGAAAAUACAGAGGCAUAUAUCGGAUAUCACAAAUCGGCCAAAAAUACAGAGAUAUGAUUUUUUUUGCCCAUAUCUCCCAGCCCUAGUCACAGGUUUACCUUUUCAACAUAAUUACGUAUUACCUGAAGUCAUGGAUGUGAAGUCAGAGCAGUGCAAGGUGAACAUUUUUGUUUAUAAAGCAUACGUUUUUUUUUUUUUUUAGAAGAUGACCAAUCGUUUCGCUAGAUAAGACCAUUAUUCCUCGUCUGGUGUCGUGUAGAGCCCUAUGAAGCUGCACUGAAACUGUAAUUUUGAACUUCAACCAUUUGGUAGCCGUUGAAGUCCACUAUAAGAAGAAAAAAUUCUCAAAUGUUUUCAUCAAAAACCUUAAUUUCUUUUCGACUGAAGAAAGAAAGAGGUAAACAUCUUGGAUGACAUGGGGAAAGCAAGAGAGACCAAAGCCCACCUGGUAAUCGUCCCAACAUGAGUGAUCUGAGGAUUGUCCUGGUGGGGAACAACGUGACAGAAAACAACAGAGUGGGAAACUUAAUCUUCAAUAAAAAUGUGUUUGGAAAGAUAACACCACAACCUGAUGUGGAGACAUUCACGGAAAAAGUGGAGAGGAGAGACAUCACAGUCUUCAACACAACUCAGCUGCUCAAUGCAACACUCAGUCUUAAAGAAAUAGCACAAUACGUGUCCAAGUUGUCUCCUUCAGAGCCUCAUGUGAUCAUACUGGUGCUGCAGCUCAGUGAUUUUAGUCAGAAGAAUAGAGACA